UAACCCAUGCAAGUCGAACGCUCCCGCAAGGGAGAGUGGCGGACGGGUGAGUAACACGUAGAAAUCUACCUCGCCGGAGGGAAUAACCCCUCGAAAGAGAGGCUAAUACCCAAAAGGAUCCGCAAGGAUCAGAGUCCGCAAGGGCCUGGCGAGAGGAGUCUGCGGCCCAUCAGCUUGUUGGUGGGGUAAUGGCCUACCAAGGCUACGACGGGUAGGGGGUCUGAGAGGAUGAUCCCCCACACUGGAACUGAAACACGGUCCAGACGCCUACGGGUGGCAGCAGGGAGGAAUAUUGGACAAUGGGGGAAACCCUGAUCCAGCAACGCCGCGUGAGGGAUGAAGACCUUCGGGUUGUAAACCUCUUUUCAGGGAGACGAGCAAGGACGGUAUCCCUGGAAUAAGCCACGGCUAACUACGUGCCAGCAGCCGCGGUAAUACGUAGGUGGCGAGCGUUAUCCGGAUUUACUGGGCGUAAAGCGCUUGUAGGCGGCUCUGUAAGUUGGACGUGAAAGCUCCGGGCUUAACUCGGAGAGGCCGUUCAAUACUGCAGGGCUAGGGGAUGUCAGAGGAAGGUGGAAUUCCUGGUGUAGCGGUGAAAUGCGUAGAUAUCAGGAGGAACACCCGUGGCGAAGGCGGCCUUCUGGGGCAUUCCUGACGCUGAGAAGCGAAAGCUAGGGGAGCAAACAGGAUUAGAAACCCUGGUAGUCCUAGCCGUAAACGAUGGAUGCUAGGUGUUGGCGGAUUGAACCCCGCCAGUGCCGAAGCUAACGCGUUAAGC
rnacentral:rRNA from 1 species